rnacentral:rRNA from 2 species
AACUUCCGUUAAUUGAUCAGGACGUGCUUGCACUGAAUGAGAUUUUAAUAUGAAGUGAGUGGCGGACGGGUGAGUAACACGUGGGUAACCUGCCCAGAAGCAGGGGAUAACACCUGGAAACAGAUGCUAAUACCGUAUAACAGAGAAAACCGCCUGGUUUUCUUUUAAAAGAUGGCUCUGCUAUCACUUCUGGAUGGACCCGCGGCGCAUUAGCUAGUUGGUGAGGUAACGGCUCACCAAGGCGAUGAUGCGUAGCCGACCUGAGAGGGUAAUCGGCCACAUUGGGACUGAGACACGGCCCAGACUCCUACGGGAGGCAGCAGUAGGGAAUCUUCCACAAUGGACGCAAGUCUGAUGGAGCAACGCCGCGUGAGUGAAGAAGGGUUUCGGCUCGUAAAGCUCUGUUGUUAAAGAAGAACGUGGGUGAGAGUAACUGUUCACCCAGUGACGGUAUUUAACCAGAAAGCCACGGCUAACUACGUGCCAGCAGCCGCGGUAAUACGUAGGUGGCAAGCGUUAUCCGGAUUUAUUGGGCGUAAAGCGAGCGCAGGCGGUCUUUUAAGUCUAAUGUGAAAGUUCGGCUCAACCGAAGAAGUGCAUUGGAAACUGGGAGACUUGAGUGCAGAAGAGGACAGUGGAACUCCAUGUGUAGCGGUGAAAUGCGUAGAUAUAUGGAAGAACACCAGUGGCGAAGGCGGCUGUCUGGUCUGUAACUGACGCUGAGGCUCGAAAGCAUGGGUAGCGAACAGGAUUAGAUACCCUGGUAGUCCAUGCCGUAAACGAUGAUUACUAAGUGUUGGAGGGUUUCCGCCCUUCAGUGCUGCAGCUAACGCAUUAAGUAAUCCGCCUGGGGAGUACGACCGCAAGGUUGAAACUCAAAAAAAUUGACGGGGGCCCGCACAAGCGGUGGAGCAUGUGGUUUAAUUCGAAGCUACGCGAAGAACCUUACCAGGUCUUGACAUCUUCUGCCAACCUAAGAGAUUAGGCGUUCCCUUCGGGGACAGAAUGACAGGUGGUGCAUGGUUGUCGUCAGCUCGUGUCGUGAGAUGUUGGGUUAAGUCCCGCAACGAGCGCAACCCUUAUUACUAGUUGCCAGCAUUCAGUUGGGCACUCUAGUGAGACUGCCGGUGACAAACCGGAGGAAGGUGGGGACGACGUCAAAUCAUCAUGCCCCUUAUGACCUGGGCUACACACGUGCUACAAUGGAUGGUACAACGAGUUGCGAAACCGCGAGGUUUAGCUAAUCUCUUAAAACCAUUCUCAGUUCGGACUGUAGGCUGCAACUCGCCUACACGAAGUCGGAAUCGCUAGUAAUCGCGGAUCAGCAUGCCGCGGUGAAUACGUUCCCGGGCCUUGUACACACCGCCCGUCACACCAUGAGAGUUUGUAACACCCAAAGCCGGUGGGGUAACCUUUUAGGAGCUAGC